rnacentral:tRNA from 1 species
ACCAAUGUGGCUCAGUUGGCUGAGCGUCUGACUUCGGCUCAGGUCACCACCUUGCGGUUCGUGGGUUCAAGCCCCACCUCGGGCU